GAUUAAAUGAAAAAUGAUUGGAUUUGGCAGAGCGUCCCAACCCAUGGAGUUGCUUCAGGCAUGAAUGCUUUUGAAGGAGUAGUAAUGGAGAUUGUGUUAACUUUCGGACCAUUGUACACAGUUUACGCCACAGCCGCUGAACCCGAGAAGGGUAAUUUGGGAAUUAUGGCUCCCCUUGCAAUUGGGUUCGUAUUUGGAGCAAAUAUCUUAGCUACCAGCCCAUUUAGUGGUGGCUCGAUGAAUCCGGCUAGUUCGUUCGGCCCAGCUGUGGUCAGUGGAGACUUCUCAGAGAACUGUAUCUACUAGGUUGGCCCAUUAAUUGGUGGAGGGCUUUCUGGGCUUCAAUACGGUCAAGUUUUCAUUGGGUCUUAUUCCCCAGUCCCAUCUUCAGAAGACUAUGCCUAAAUGUUCAUUAGCAUUAUGCUUGUCUGGUUUCCUACUUUUGGGUUUGGACUUGAUUUGAAAAUCCUGUUAUAUUUCUAUUUGGC
rnacentral:misc_RNA from 1 species